GGACUACCGGGGUAUCUAAUCCUGUUUGCUCCCCACGCUUUCGUGCCUCAGCGUCAAUCAUCCUGUAGUAAGCUGCCUUCGCUAUCGGUGUUCUAUGUCAUAUCUAAGCAUUUCACCGCUACAUGACAUAUUCCGCUUACCUCCAGGAUAUUCAAGACAAAUAGUAUCAACGGCAGUUUCUGAGUUAAGCCCAGAGAUUUCACCACUGACUUACUUGUCCGCCUACGCACCCUUUAAACCCAGUGAAUCCGGAUAACGCUUGCACCCUCCGUAUUACCGCGGCGGCUGGCAC
rnacentral:rRNA from 1 species